rnacentral:rRNA from 1 species
GACGAACCGUGCGAACGUUGUUCGGAAUCACUGGGCUUAAAGGGCGCGUAGGCGGGUGGGCAAGUCUGCGGUGAAAUCCUCCAGCUCAACUGGAGAAGUGCCGUGGAUACUGCUUACCUUGAGGAGGGUAGGGGCAUCUGGAACGUUGGGUGGAGCGGUGAAAUGCGUUGAUAUCCAACGGAACUCCGAUGGCGAAGGCAGUUCACUAGGCGUGUAUUGACACUGAGGCUCGAAAGCGUGGGGAUCAAACAGGG